rnacentral:rRNA from 1 species
UAAAAGUCGUAACAAGGUUUCCGUAGGUGAACCUGCGGAAGGAUCAUUACCGUUUGUCUUUGACAACACCACUGUGAAUAGUACCAAGCAAGUGGGGUAACGCGUAGCGUUUUAAAUGAUCUCGAUCGGCCUCACUUGUGCAUUUUUCAAGUUUUUUUACGCACUUGUAGUCUCAUGUAGGUUAUGCUUUUCAAGCAAAGCCAAAUUUUAAACGUGACAACUUCUAACGGUGGAUCUCUUGGCUCGUGCAUCGAUGAAGAACGUAGCCAGUUGCGAUAAGUAGUGUGAAUUGCAGAACUCAGUGAAUCAUCGAAUCUUUGAACGCAAAUUGCGCUUUCUGGAUAUCCAGGGAGCAUGCCUGUCUGAGCGUCGUUUGAUAACAUACACAUUACGGUGUGGAGAAGACACUUCACUGGACUCAUCAUUGAGACUCGUGAGUAUCUAUGGCUCUGAACCUGGUAGUUUGCGCUCUGCACUACUUGGAAGGCUCAACUUGCUUCUGUCCUUCUUACGUACGCUUUGUAGCAAUGCUAACUGGUUCUCACUUUCAGUGUCAGAACUGAAAAUUACACAUAUUUUGACCUCAGAUCAGACAAGACUACCCCGCUGAAUUUAAGCAUAUCAAUAAGCGGAGGAA